CUAUUCCCUUUAGCCGCCUCCAGGUUUCUAUACCUUUCUGUUUCAACAAAUGAUGGCUGAAGCUCCUAAUGUGGCACUUCCGAGUGAAGAGCACAUGCCAGCAGAAGUUUCAGUGUCAGCUCCUACUCAGGAACCUGUACAAGAGGCACCCAAAGGAAGGAAAAGAAAAUCCAGAACAACAGAACCAAAAAAACCAGUGGAACCCAAAAAACCUGCUGAGUCAAAAAAAUCUCGCAAGUCCCCCAAAUCAAAAGAUAAGCAAGAAAAAAUUACAGACACGUUUAAAGUGAAAAGAAAAGUGGACCGUUUUAAUGGUGUUUCAGAAGCUGAACUUUUGACCAAGACUCUUCCUGAUAUCUUGACCUUCAAUCUGGACAUUGUCAUUAUCGGCAUAAACCCAGGACUCAUGGCUGCGUACAAAGAGCAUCAUUACCCUGGACCUGGAAACCAUUUUUGGAAGUGUUUGUUCAUGUCGGGGCUGAGUGAAGUCCAACUGAAUCAUAUGGAUGAUCAUACUUUACCAGGAAAGUAUGGUAUUGGGUUUACCAAUAUGGUGUAAAGGACAACACCGGGCAGCAAAGAUCUUUCUAGUAAAGAAUUUCGUGAAGAAGGACGCAUUCUAGUUCAGAAAUUACAGAAAUAUCAGCCACGAAUAGCAGUGUUUAAUGGAAAAUCUCUGUUACGUUAUGCCAUCAUCCAGUGCAAGGUGUGCUCAGUUUCCUCGAGCCCAGGACAAAGUUCAUUACUACAUUAAGCUGAAGGACUUAAGAGAUCAGUUGAAAGGCAUUGAACGAAAUACAGAUGUUCAAGAAGUGCGGUAUACAUUUGACCUACAGCUUGCAGAAGAGGAUGCAAAGAAGAUGGCUGUUAAGGAAGAAAAAUAUGAUCCAGGUUACGAAGCAGCAUACGGUGGUGCUUAUAAUGAAAAUCCAUGCGGUGGUGAACACUGCAGCUUCUCUUCAAAUGGGCUAAAGACAGAGGCGUUUAUGGAUUCCAGUCAGGCUUGGCUUCUGAUCCCAGAAGAACUGACCAUUCCCACAGAGAAUCCAAUCCCAGAGAUGUACUACCUCACCCUGAACCCCCUCCACACACAUAAUGAUGACCCAGGAGCCACCCUUUCAUUGGCAUCAACAGAGGGUUCCAGUCCAUAA